GACCGCGAGGUGGAGCAAAUCCCUAAAAGCCAUCCCAGUUCGGAUUGCAGGCUGCAACCCGCCUGUAUGAAGUUGGAAUCGCUAGUAAUCGCGGAUCAGCAUGCCGCGGUGAAUACGUUCCCGGGCCUUGUACACACCGCCCGUCACACCAUGAGAGUCGGGAACAUCCGAAGUCCGUAGUCUAACCGCAAGGGGACGCGGCCGAAGGUGGGUUCGAUAAUUGGGGUGAAGUCGUAACAAGGUAGC
rnacentral:rRNA from 1 species